GUGAACGCUGGCGGUAGGCCUAACACAUGCAAGUCGAACGGCAGCACAGUAAGAGCUUGCUCUUACGGGUGGCGAGUGGCGGACGGGUGAGGAAUACAUCGGAAUCUACUUUUUCGUGGGGGAUAACGUAGGGAAACUUACGCUAAUACCGCAUACGACCUACGGGUGAAAGCAGGGGAUCUUCGGACCUUGCGCGAUUGAAUGAGCCGAUGUCGGAUUAGCUAGUUGGCGGGGUACAGGCCCACCAAGGCGACGAUCCGUAGCUGGUCUGAGAGGAUGAUCAGCCACACUGGACCUGAGACACGGUCCAGACUCCUACGGGAGGCAGCAGUGGGGAAUAUUGGACAAUGGGCGCAAGCCUGAUCCAGCCAUACCGCGUGGGUGAAGAAGGCCUUCGGGUUGUAAAGCCCUUUUGUUGGGAAAGAAAAGCAGCAGGUUAAUACCCCGCUGUUCUGACGGUACCCAAAGAAUAAGCACCGGCUAACUUCGUG
rnacentral:rRNA from 1 species